rnacentral:lncRNA from 1 species
UUGGAGCUACCCACUUCCAUUCAACUAACCAAUAGUCUCUCGAUCAACAUUGAAAUAAAUAACAGCACGCGAAUUGAAGAAAAAUCUCAACUUGAAACAAGAUCAAGAAAGCUUGUCUUAACAACAUAUCACAAAAACUACCAAAACAAAGAUAGAAAGAGAGAGUUGUGACCUCGUCAUAAGGAGGACGAUCAGCUAAACCAGGGGGAGGAGGGUGAUGAUGAUGUACAGGAGGGGGAUGUGGUGGAGGAGCUGAUGAUACUGCCGACGGAGGAGGCGGAGCUCCUGUAGGCGG